GCUUUAAGGGCGUAUGGGGGAUGCCUUGGCUCUCAGAGGCGAUGAAGGACGUGCCAAGCUGCGAAAAGCUACGGGGAACUGCUGAGAAGUUUUGAUCCGUAGAUGUCCGAAUGGGGAAACCCGUCAGUAUAACUGACUUAAAGCCAACCCGCUGAACUGAAACAUCUAAGUAAGCGGAGGAAUAGAAAACAAUUUAGUGAUUCCCUAAGUAGUGGCGAGCGAACAGGGAACAGCCCAAACCAGCAAUGUUUCGGCAUUGCUGGGGUUGUAGGACUGCAACGUGGAAUAUAUAAAUGAAGUUGAAUUACCUGGAAAGGUAAGCAACAUAGGGUGAUAGCCCCGUAAACGUAAGUUUAUAUUACCUAGCAGUAUCCUGAGUAGCGCGGGGUCGGAGACGCCUUGCGUGAAUCUGCCAGCACCAUCUGGUAAGGCUAAAUACUACUGAGAGACCGAUAGCGAACUAGUACUGUGAAGGAAAGGUGAAAAGAAUCCCGAACAGGGAAGUGAAAAGAAUCUGAAACCAUACGCUUACAAGCGGUCAGAGCUCCUUCGUGGAGUGAUGGCGUGCCUUUUGCAUAAUGAGCCUACGAGUUAGUCUUUACUGGCAAGGUUAAGGUCCUCUGGACCGCAGCCGAAGCGAAAGCAAGUCUGAAUAGGGCGCUUAGUCAGUAGAGCUAGACGCGAAACCUGAGUGAUCUACCCAUGACCAGGAUGAAGUGACGGUAACACGUCAUGGAGGUCCGAACUCAUUAGCGUUGAAAAGCUACGGGAUGAGUUGUGGGUAGGGGUGAAAGGCUAAUCAAACUGGGAGAUAGCUCGUACUCCCCGAAAUGUUUUUUGGAACAGCCUCGAGUAAGAGUGUCACAGAGGUAGAGCUACCAAUUGGGUGAGGGGGUGUCAAAACCUACCGAGCUCAGAUGAACUCCGAAUACUGAUGACAUGUUUCUCGGGAGUGAGCCCUUGGGUGCUAAGGUCCGAGGGCGAGAGGGAAAGAACCCAGACCAUCGGCUAAGGUCUCCAAAUCUAAACUAAGUUGAACUAACGUGGUCCAAUCGCUAAGACAGCUAGGAUGUUUGCUUGGAAGCAGCCAUUCAUUUAAAGAGUGCGUAACAGCUCACUAGUCGAGCGAUCGGGCGUGGAUAAUAAACGGGCAUCAAGUUUAGUACCGAAGCUGUGGACUUCGUAAGAAGUGGUAGGGGAGCAUUCUACAGGCGCUGAAGGUGAAACGUGAGUUUUGCUGGAGCGUGUAGAAAAGCCAAUGUAGGCAUAAGUAACGAUAAGAAAGGUGAGAAACCUUUCCACCGAUAGACUAAGGUUUCCUGAUCAACGUUAAUCGGAUCAGGGUUAGUCAGGACCUAAGGUUAAGCAAAUAAGCAAUACCGAUGGACAUCAGGUUAAUAUUCCUGAACCAUUUGCAGUGCGAUGUGGUGACGCAGGAGUGAAAAAUCCGCGAACUGACGGAAUAGUUCGUUAAAGCUUGUAGAUAUAUUCGUUGUAGGCAAAUCCGCAAUGAAUGUCGAAAGUGAUAGUACCGCAAGUCUUCGGACAAGUGGAUAGUGAUUCUAAUCCGACUGCCAAGAAAAACCGCUAGCUUAAGCUGCAAGUGCCUGUACCACAAACCGACACAGGUAGUCUAGGAGAAAAUCCUGAGGUGCUCGAGUGAUCCACGGUUAAGGAACUCGGCAAAUUAACCCUGUAACUUCGGAAUAAAGGGUGCCCCUCUCGGGGGGCCGCAGUGAAAUGGCCCAGGCGACUGUUUAUCAAAAACACAUGGCUAUGCUAAAUCGAAAGAUGAUGUAUAUGGCCUGACACCUGCCCGGUGCUGGAAGGUUAAGAGGGGAUGUCAGCGCAAGCGAAGCAUUGAAUCGAAGCCCCAGUAAACGGCGGCCGUAACUAUAACGGUCCUAAGGUAGCGAAAUUCCUUGUCGGGUAAGUUCCGACCUGCACGAAUGGUGUAACGAUCUGGGCACUG
rnacentral:rRNA from 1 species